UGAUAAGCAGGUGACUAACGUUUGUUUUUAUUGAUUUUAUUAGGAAAUAGCUUACAGGCUGUCUAGAUGUCUUCAAAAAGAGGAAAAUCCAAAACUGAGAAGCAGUGUCCAUCACGGCACAGCAGUGGUGGCAGCAACACUAUCUUCUCCUUCAUCUACCGACGAAGAAGAUGAAAGGGUUUUGAGUUUUGGACAUUUGUCGAAGGUGCUGGUUUUAGAGCUAGUUUAUUGUGUUCUCCGCCUGCUUCACUGAAUUGCGAUUAAAUUGAAUAUCCCUGAGAGGAUUACCAUCAGAGAGAAAUCUUUAUAUUUUUCUUCUGAAAACUUCCACUGUUGAAGUAACCUUAUAUUUUGGGCCAUAGUCAUGUGGUCAUCACAGUUGCUGCUGUUCUUCACAAUUGUCUUGGUAUCUACAGUCCAUGCUUUUAGUCGUGCUCCUGUUCCUAUGGCAGUGGUCCGGAGGGAACUCUCUUGUGAAAGCUACCCAAUAGAGCUCCGUUGCCCAGGAACAGAUGUUAUCAUGAUUGAAAGUGCCAACUAUGGCAGGACAGAUGAUAAAAUCUGUGACUCAGAUCCUGCUCAGAUGGAGAAUAUCCGCUGUUAUCUGCCAGAUGCUUAUAAGAUUAUGACUCAAAGGUAAGGGUUGAACAUUCUUGCCGGAUGGGUUUUGCUUUAAUCUUGCUUGCUAUUUAUGAAAGUCUGUUAUUGUUUGAGGCUGUUAAGGUAUUUGCAAUCUGUUUUCAUGCUUCACAGCUAUGGUAGUGUAGAAAUGAACAAAACAGUGAGUUACAAAUCACAGAACUUUAUCCAGGAAAUGAUUUAAACCUAAACUCAGUAUUUAUUGUACACAAACUCCAAGUUGUAAUGUCCUUAAUUUAUAUAUGUUUCAUCUGUAGUCCCUUUAUAGUUUCUAAUUUUCUUUUAUCUGGUGCCUUUAUUUUCUUUUUUCCUAUUUACUUGCCUCCAUAAAGCACAUAUUUUUUUCUUGUCCUAAAUUUCCCAGGGUCAUGGAAGUAUGUAUUACAUUAACUUCCAAUGUGAC